UCUGACUGGGACCUGCUGCUGCCGCGGACACACAGUGUGGGGCCUGGACUUGAUUUCACUACGCGGAGAGGGAAUGUCAUGACCGAGUCUGGGGGAUAAAUGUUAGAUUCGUGCGUGCGUGAACAUUCUCGCGGUUUGAAGGGAAUAUGGAGCGGCUUCUGACGCGACGCGCGCUUGGAAAGGCGUGAAAAUAUCCGUGACGUUACGGCGGAAUGUCAAUGAAACUGAGGCGAUCGGGAUGAAAUAAAAAGAAAUCCGGAACAGCCAGAAUUAAACACAUCCUCACUCCUCCAUGUGUCCGCGUGAAUGCAAACGGGACGCCGCGUUAACGGAACUGUUGCUGCUCUGAGACCUGUGGCUGGUUCGGAACCGUGAUCUGGCUCGGUUCUGCGGUUCGGCUAGUGUGUGUGUAUGUGUGUGUAACUGCGGAGGAUGGGAGAUUUAAGAGAGUCCGUGCAGAAGAAGGUCUCGGGGACACGCGCUCACACUACAGUUGGAGAUUGCUGUGGAAAGCAUUACUACUAUUUAGGGAAGUGCAAUAUUAUCAGAACAUUAUUGGAAUCAGCUGAUAAAGGCUUAAAAUGUUAACAUUGUUAUUGGCCGAUUUGAAAAAAUGUAGGCCUAUAUGCCUUGCUGAUAAGACAAAUUAUCAUAUGUUCUGGGUGUGUUCGUGAUAAGAUCACAUCAGCAGUGUGGUCAUUCUUGAAUCAAACUUUUGCCUGAAUGGUGAUUAGAUUCAUUGUUUUGGAUCACCGCAUUUGCGUGAUAGAUUAAACUGUUACUAGCUUAAUACCUUAACAACUGUACUGCAACACCCGGAACACCCAAACAACACACUGAACACCCUAACAACUGCACUACAACACCCUAACAACUGCACUGCAACACCAUGAACACCCUAACAACUGCACUGCAACACCAUGACAACUGCACUGCAACACCCUAACAACUGCACUGCAACACCUUGACCACCCUAAUAACUGCACUGCAACACCAUGAACACCAUAACAACUGCACUGCAACACCUUGACCACCCUAAUAACUGCACUGCAACACCAUGAACACCCUAACAACUGCACUGCAACAUCUUGAACACCAUGAGCACCCUAACAACUGCACUGCAACAUCUUGAACACCAUAAACACCCUAACACCUGCACUGCAACACCAUGACAACUGCACUGCAACACCCUAACAACUCCACUGCAACACCAUGAACACCCUAACACCUGCACUGCAACACCUUGACCACCCUAAUAACUGCACUGCAACACCUUGACCACCCUAAUAACUGCACCGCAACACCCUAACAACUGCACUGCAACACCUUGACCACCCUAAUAACUGCACUGCAACACCCUGACCACCCUAACAACUGCACUCCAACACCCUGAACACCCUAACCACUGCACCGCAACACCUUACCCACCAUGAGCACCCUAACAACUGCUCUGCAACAUCUUGAACACCAUGAACACCCUGACAGCUGCACUGCAACACCCUGAACACACUAACAACUGCACUGCAACCUCUUGGACACCAUGAGCACCGUAACAACUGCACUGCAACACUAUGCACACCCUAACAAC
ensembl:lncRNA